UUUUAAACUUUGUUUUUACGUUUUGAGUCAGUUUCAAGUGAUUUGGCAAUCCCUCCUAAUCCCCGGCCUAGAACGAUCCCUACUUACAUACUUUGCGUUUCUAAAAACCUUCCCUUUUUUGCAUUUCUAUUUUGCCAUGAUUGUCAUUUUUUAUUUUUGUUGUUUAUUUAAUUAUUUUUGGGUGUGGGUUUAUUUUUGAAACAUUGACAGAUAUGCAAGGUAUUCUUACAUUCAUUUUCAUGAAAAAAAGGAACAUUAAGCAGAAAAUUACAAGAGGGAGCCUUCACAAAGGCUGCUUAGGAGAAGUCUGAGUAGUCGACGGAGCCUCAGCAAUCGGUGGAGCCCUAGAAGAAGGAAGCAGCGGAGGUUGAUCAUUUGGAGCUUCAGUAUGCGGUACAGCCC
rnacentral:lncRNA from 1 species